rnacentral:rRNA from 1 species
UACGGAGGAUCCAAGCGUUAUCCGGAAUCAUUGGGUUUAAAGGGUCCGUAGGCGGCCCGGUAAGUCAGUGGUGAAAUCUCACGGCUCAACCGUGAAAUUGCCAUUGAUACUGUCGGGCUUGAAUUGUUGGGAAGUAACUAGAAUAUGUAGUGUAGCGGUGAAAUGCUUAGAUAUUACAUGGAAUACCGAUUGCGAAGGCAGGUUACUACCAAUACAUUGACGCUGAUGGACGAAAGCGUGGGGAGCGAACAGG